GUGUCAGCAGCCGCGGUAAUACGAAGGUGACAAGCGUUAUUCGAAAUCACUGGGCUUAAAGGGUGCGCAGGCGGAAACAUAAGUGUCUUGUGAAAACCCCCGGCUUAACCGGGGAAUUGCUCGGCAUACUGUGUUUCUUGAGGCAAGCAGGGGUGUGUGGAACUCUUGGUGGAGCGGUGGAAUGCGUAGAUAUCAAGAGGAACGCCGAAGGUGAAGACAGCACACUGGGCUUGUCCUGACGCUCAGGCACGAAAGCGUGGGGAGCAAACAGGAUUAGAAACCCGCGUAGUCC
rnacentral:rRNA from 1 species